AGCCUCCGUAGCUCAGUGGUAGAGCGCCUGCCUUGUAAGCAGGAAGUCGCGAGUUCAAAUCUCGUCGGAGGCUU
rnacentral:tRNA from 1 species